UGAGGAAUAUUGGUCAAUGGGCGGGAGCCUGAACCAGCCAAGCCGCGUGAGGGAAGAAGGCGCUCAGCGUCGUAAACCUCUUUAGCCGGGGAACAAAGAGCCGCUCGGGAAGCAGCGUUGAGCGUACCCGGAGAAUAAGCAUCGGCUAACUCCGUGCCAGCAGCCGCGGUAAUACGGAGGAUGCGAGCGUUAUCCGGAUUUAUUGGGUUUAAAGGGUGCGCAGGCGGACGCGCAAGUCUGCGGUCAAAUUCCGGGGCUCAACCCCGGACCGCCGUGGAAACUGUGCGACUGGAGUGGGCGAGAGGCAUGCGGAAUGCGCGGUGUAGCGGUGAAAUGCUUAGAGAUCGCGCAGAACUCCGAUUGCGAAGGCAGCAUGCCGGCGCCUUACUGACGCUCAUGCACGAAAGCGUGGGGAUCGAACAGGAUUAGAUACC
rnacentral:rRNA from 1 species